rnacentral:rRNA from 1 species
UCAAACCAAAGCUGGCGACCGGCGCACGGGUGGGUAACACGUAUCCAACCUGCCUCAUACUCGGGGAUAGCCUUUCGAAAGAAAGAUUAAUAUCCGAUAGCAUAUAUUUCCCGCAUGGGUUUUAUAUUAAAGAAAUUCGGUAUGAGAUGGGGAUGCGUUCCAUUAGUUUGUUGGGGGGGUAACGGCCCACCAAGACUACGAUGGAUAGGGGUUCUGAGAGGAAGGUCCCCCACAUUGGAACUGAGACACGGUCCAA